rnacentral:rRNA from 1 species
CAGUCGCCGCGGGAACACGGAGGGGGCUAGCGUUGUUCGGAAUUACUGGGCGUAAAGCGCACGUAGGCUGCUUUGUAAGUUAGAGGUGAAAGCCUGGUGCUCAACACCAGAACUGCCUUUAAGACUGCAGAGCUAGAACGUCGGAGAGGUGAGUGGAAUUCCGAGUGUAGAGGUGAAAUUCGUAGAUAUUCGGAAGAACACCAGUGGCGAAGGCGGCUCACUGGACGACUGUUGACGCUGAGGUGCGAAAGCGUGGGGAGCAAACAGGAUUAGAUACCCCUGUAGUCCCUGUCUCUUAUAC